rnacentral:rRNA from 1 species
CUCUGUGACUCCUACGGGAGGCAGCAGUGGGGAAUAUUGCACAAUGGGGGAAACCCUGAUGCAGCCAUGCCGCGUGUGUGAAGAAGGCCUUCGGGUUGUAAAGCACUUUCAGUAGGGAGGAAGGUAGUGUAGUUAACACCUGCACUAUUUGACGUUACCUACAGAAGAAGCACCGGCUAACUCCGUGCCAGCAGCCGCGGUAAUACGGAGGGUGCGAGCGUUAAUCGGAAUUACUGGGCGUAAAGCGCAUGCAGGCGGCCUGUUAAGUCAGAUGUGAAAGCCCGGGGCUUAACCUCGGAAUUGCAUUUGAAACUGGCAGGCUAGAGUCUUGUAGAGGGGGUAGAAUUUCAGGUGUAGCGGUGAAAUGCGUAGAGAUCUGAAGGAAUACCAGUGGCGAAGGCGGCCCCCUGGACAGAUACUGACACUCAGAUGCGAAAGCGUGGGGAGCAAACAGGAUUAGAUACCCUGGUGA